CUUGACAAACUUAUAAGAGGUCCAGCCUGCCCAGUGACUCUGUUCAACGGCCGCGGUAUCCUAACCGUGCGAAGGUAGCGUAAUCACUUGUUCUUUAAAUGAGGACUAGUAUGAAUGGCACCACGAAGGUUAUACUGUCUCCUUUUUCUAAUCAGUGAAACUAAUCUUCCCGUGAAGAAACGGGAAUAAAAAUAUAAGACGAGAAGACCCUAUGGAGCUUUAAACAAAUAUACACCUGCCUCUUUACCAAAAAAUUUCAGAAGACAAGUAGUUAUCCAGGCAUUUUGAUAUAGCGUUUUAGGUUGGGGUGACCGCGGAGCAAAAAAUAACCUCCGCAGCGAACGGGAAUAUUCCCUAAACUAAGGGCCACAACCCCAAGUAUUGAUAAAUCAACACUAAUUGACCCAAUAAAUUUGAUCAAUGAAC
rnacentral:rRNA from 1 species